rnacentral:rRNA from 1 species
AGUGAACGCUGGCGGUAGGCCUAACUCAUGCAAGUCGAACGGCAGCACAGUAAGAGCUUGCUCUUACGGGUGGCGAGUGGCGGACGGGUGAGGAAUACAUCGGAAUCUACUUUUUCGUGGGGGAUAACGUAGGGAAACUUACGCUAAUACCGCAUACGACCUACGGGUGAAAGCAGGGGAUCUUCGGACCUUGUGCGAUUGAAUGAGCCGAUGUCGGAUUAGCUAGUUGGCGGGGUAAAGGCCCACCAAGGCGACGAUCCGUAGCUGGUCUGAGAGGAUGAUCAGCCACACUGGAACUGAGACACGGUCCAGACUCCUACGGGAGGCAGCAGUGGGGAAUAUUGGACAAUGGGCGCAAGCCUGAUCCAGCCAUACCGCGUGGGUGAAGAAGGCCUUCGGGUUGUAAAGCCCUUUUGUUGGGAAAGAAAAGCAGCAGGUUAAUACCCCGCUGUUCUGACGGUACCCAAAGAAUAAGCACCGGCUAACUUCGUG